rnacentral:sRNA from 1 species
UAAAAGUUAAAUUAUAAAAUGUAUUCUUAAUACCCACACACCAUAAUGUAAAGACAUUAUAAAAAUCAGAACGCAGUCAAAUAUUCCAUAUUUCUUUGCUUUUCUGGUAAAUAACCAUUUUCUGAAGAUUUGUAAAAUCAUGUCUAAGAAUCAAAUGCUUUCAUUGAUUUAUUUUUCAAAAUGUCGGAAGCACCAAUUUCACCCACCUUGUACCUCAGGCUUUGGAGCCCUGACAUUUCUCUUGCCAGUCAGUAUAUCAGUGUUUGAAUAAAGGAGGUGGGAGUGUCUAAGAACAGGUUCCUUUCUCAAUUGAAAAAAGAAAGGGGGGUGGGGAAUAACUAAAGGAAUCCCAGUGUUUGCCUAGCAAACCAGCUCCACCUUCUGGGGAGCUCAGACCCUGGGCAAGAUUUUAAACACCCAUCAUACAAUAUUCAAAAACUCUGAAAGUGCUUUGGACUAAUCCAGGAAACCCUAGCCUCAAUGAGACAAUAGCUUGAAUAGCCCCGUUCGCAGUAAUGCAGCCCAUCACCUAGGACAAAGACGCCAGUCAGAGAGGACAAGACUACUGGAAAGGAAGAAAAAUCAGGAAGGCCCAACUCACGUUGUUUGCAGCCCGGCCAGAAACGGAGCGGUAUUUCCCGGGAAUCAUGGCAGGAAACAGUCCAGGAUGUUCGAUCCUCCUUCGAGGACCCGCCUCAACUCUGCCCGCGGGAAGUUUGAUUCCUUCUACCUGCGGGUGUUUUCUUGGAAAAAUACCCAGAAUCUUCCCAUUUAGUUUGGCACUUCCACUGAGCCGAAGCAAGGAAGGAUAAAGCCUGACCUGGAGACAAUGAAGGAGAAGCCUGCUUUCCUGAGGCCACUGCAGAGGGACCGAGUGCGCUUGACAUAGGAGUCCCUACCGACAGCUCCAAGACUGUCGACAUGUCAAAAAAUGACUGAGAAAGAAAGCUGUGAAGCUACUACUGAAGACAAGUCUUGCUAAUAAUCCCUUCCCUUACCUUAGCUUCUUUUGAUUGAUACUUGCUGCCUUCAUGUUCAUGUUUCUGGCGAGCUAAACUUCCCGUCAUCUCCUUGCUGCAUACCUUUCUAACCCCCAAUAAACACUGAUUACAUUUA